UUUUUUUUUUUUUUUGAGACGUCUCUCUCUGUUGUGUAGGCUGGCGUGCAAUGGCACAACCUUGGCUCACUGCAGCCUCAACCUCCUGGGCUCAAGCAAUCCUCCCACCUCAGCCUCCCAAGUAGUUGGGACUAUAGGUGCAUGCCACCAUACCUGGCUAAUUUUUUGUAGAGACGGGGUGUCACUUUGCUGCCCAGGCUGGUCUUGAACUUCUGGGCUCCAGUGAUCCCCUCCUGCCUCAGCCUCCCAAAGUGUUGGGAUUACAGGCCUGAGCCACUGCACCUGGCCUUUGUUUCGUUGGAGGCAGGGUCUUGCUCUGUCAUCCAGGUUGCAGUGCAGUGGUGCAAAUGUGGCUCAGUGCAGCCUCCUGGGCUUGCACAACUCAAGGGUUCAAGCAAUCCUCCUGCCUCAGCCUCUUGGGUAGCUGAGAUGUAUGCCACCAUGCUGGUUUCAUGGGGCUUUGAGGAGUAAGAGAUGGCUGUGGUGCUCAGCACAUAUUAAGUGCUCAAUAGCCAUUACCUACUGUAAAAAAAGGUUCUGGGGAAAAUGUGAGCAGAUGAGGACUUUCAACUCCCUCACUGAUGUGUCAGGCUUGAAUCUAGUGAGGGGAGUGUCAGUAGGGGUGGCCAAAACCCUAGCCCUUGUCUGAGCAGCCUGAUUACAGCUCUGUUCCUUUCCCCCUUCCCCAAGAGCUAUUCUCUGAGGGCCAGACCUGGUAUGGGCUCCAGAGGUUCGCCUGUGCUGAGAUGCCACAUGGCGCUUAGAGACUCUCCUGAUCUCUGACCCUCUCUGUCUACUCACCACCCUCACGAUCGCUCUGGGAAGCCCAUGAGCAGGAACCAUUAUCUCACCUGACAGAUGCAGAAACUGAUGCCCAAACUGCCCAGGGACAGAGUGAGUGGAGGCAGCAACACAGAUAUCCUAGCUGUCCAGCUGGAUUCUCUGCAGACAGCUCUCCCAGAAGGUUGGGCAUUAUGAAGAAUGAUCUUGCGAAGCCUGGGCUGAGGGGAGCCUGGGACACUGGGAAGGACUUCCCACUGAGCUGCGUUUGGGGAAGCCAGGAAGAAAAACAGCUCCCCUUGUCCUGAGGACUCAGCCCCCUCCUGGUACAGGAUGUUUCUAGUGUGGCAGUGUGACCCCAGGGAACUUGUUCCUUCUGGGCUUGGCCUUUGUAGGCUGAGGGACUGACAUGGCCUAGAGAAGUCCCUGGGGAUCCUUGAGCCAUGGGAGAUGCUAUGGGACAUCUGUGUUGAGGCCAUGUGGGAAGUUAGGGAGGCUGAACUUCCCAAUGUUUGUGUGUGAGGAAGGCUAAUGAGGAAGGCAGGUCUGCCAUGGUGAAGGAGCUGGCCUGGCUGUCCCUCCCUGAUUUUAGAAGAGGAGGCACAUCAGCAGGUUCUCCUUAGGGAACAAGGUCUCCAGGCUUUCGGGCAUAAAGAAAGAAGACCAGCACUACACAGGAGGGAUUCUCCCCCAAACCUUAAUCUAUAGGACUCAGUGAGCGAGUCUUUGCCCCUCCUCCUCCCUCAAGACCUUCUCCUCCUCCUCCCUUGCCACCUUCUCCGGCCUCUUCAAGACAGGAUCUAGGGCUGUGGCCAACAGACCUGCAACUAGGAGGGCCUGCUUUCAUCUCCACAGUCCCGCAUAUAACCACUAUUGCAUGCCAGGCAGGUAACACUAUUGACAGCAACUGGCCCUGCCAAACAAGCCAGAGGGAAUUUCAGAGAGAAUUUGGUCUCUGGAAAGCUCUGGCCCAUAAAAACUCUCCUGCUGGGCCGGGCGCGGUGGCUCACGCCUGUAAUCCCAGCACUUUGGGAGGCCGAGACGGGCGGAUCACGAGGUCAGGAGAUCGAGACCAUCCUGGCUAACACGGUGAAACCCCGUCUCUACUAAAAAGUACAAAAAACUAGCCGGGCGAGGUGGCGGGCGCCUGUAGUCCCAGCUAUUCCAGAGGCUGAGGCAGGAGAAUGGCUUAAACCCGGGAGGCGGAGCUUGCAGUGAGCUGAGAUCCGGCCACUGCACUCCAGCCUGGGCGACAGAGCCAGACUCUGUCUCAAAAAAAACAAAAACAAAAACAAAAAAAACUCUCCUGCUGAAGACAGUGUGGGAGAGAAGUUACCACCUGAUUCUCAGGGAGCAACAGCUUGGGGUCCUGGUGCCCUCCCUCCAUGCAUGGGGUGGCGGAGGCAGAGGGCUCUUUCCCUCUAGCUCAUGCUCCUGUACACUCUUGUCCAAUGCCACAGCUCAGUGAGGAAUCCACCAAAGCUACGAGCAGCAGCUUCCCCUUGCUGAGGAGACCUGGGGUCCCCUUGGUGAUUUGAGGGGGGCUAGUUCUCCCAUUAACCUCUGGCAUCCAAUCCUACCUCCCUGAUCUGAAUCUCUCCCUCUUUGCAGUGCCAACUCCUAUAACCCUCAUUUCUCUCCCUGGAUCACUUCUGCAGCUUCCUGGCUGAGCUUCUUGCCUUGAAGUAGCCCUCCAAUCCCUUUUAUACUCUUCUGCCUGACGGACUGCUCCAGAACAGAGUAGGUAAAAUAAAGUCCCUGGUCAAAUCUAGCCUGUUGCCUGUUUUUGCACAACUCAUGAGCUAAGAAUGGUUUUUAUGUUUAUAAAUGGUUGGGAAAAAAAGUCAAAAGAAUAUUUUGUGACAUAAAAAUCAUAUGAAAUUAUUUCAGUGUGCACAAAUAAAGCGUUAGAACAGAGUCUUACUCUUUCAUUUACAUAUUGUCUGCGGCUGCUCUCACACUAUGAUGGCCGAGUUGGACAGCUGCAACAGAAACUAUAAGUCUCACAGUCUACAAUAUUUACUAUCUGAUCUUUUUUCACAAAACAUUUGCUGAAUCCUGGUCUAGAUCCUAAAUCUGGCCAUGCCACUCUGCUUAAAAUUCUUGUCACUACCUGUGGCGCUCCAUAAGCUGACCCCUGUCCACCUCUCCAGCCUCAUCACCUGUCCCCCUAGUAGUCUGCCUGCUCUGGACAACCCUUCCUCGACCAUUCCCCCAGCCCUGUCUCCUGCUGCUUACCUUCACUCGGCAUGUGCCUCUUUCCUCCUCUAAAUGGCAGUCUACCAUCUCAAGCCUCAGCUCAAACGCUUCCUCCCAUUUCACUUUCCCACAUGUGUCCUGCCCCGACUCCCAGAGCUAACCCAUUUCUACCGCGACUUCACAAAAUAUUCCUCUUAGGACUCUUCAGCUUUUAAUAACCGAUUAAUGACCUAUUGGUGGCAGACCAGCCAAUUCCACUAAGAACAUCUGUUCACAUGUGUGCUCCCUGGAUUACUGAAUGUACGAAACCAGCCUGCAUCUGCUUCCCACAGCCCUGGCACAAGGCUGGCACAGGGUAGGCAUGCAAAUAUUCACCAGAAGAGGCCUGGUUAGCAUUCCACACCUUUUACUUGGCUAGUAUUAUGGAGGAAGACGUGUACAUAUUUUCUAGAUACUGAGUAUCAUUUUUAUGAACUUGAGCAUCUUUGAUGGAUCAGGUACCUCCAUGUAUAUUACACCUUUAACCCUCACAACCCUAAUGAGGUCAGUGAAACUUUCAUUGCAUCAAGUGGCAAGUUGUUAUGUGGCAGAGCUAGAAUCUGAUGUCAGGUCUCCUGCCUUUUGCUGAUUCUGAGAUACUCUCACACGUAUUGUUCAUCCACGGAACCCACUGCUUGAAAGACGUAACAGAUGCUCAUGGGCUUCCUGUUGUGUGUGGGGCCAAUGACCUGCACUACAUGGGCGCAGACAGAGGUGGUUUCAUUGUUUUCUGUCACUUCCCUCCAGCUGCCUGUUCCUGCUGCUGUUCCUGAUCCCUUUCGAAGCACACCGGGUAAGGACCAAAGGACAGCCCUGCUACAGGAGGAGGAGGAUUGAGGAAAAAAAUGAAAAGAAAUAAAAAAAUGAAAACAUCAAAAGGAAGCCCUAUAAAGUUAAAUUCUGUAAUUUAAUUAAGUGCUUGUUUUCGUGACUCUACUUCUCAAGUCUCCUGCUGUUGCUCUGGGGCUUCUGGCUUGUUCUGGGGCAGAAGGAAGUUGCUGGAGGCCUGGCCUCCAGGCUGGAGGGGUGCCAAUGCAAGGGUCAUACUAAUGGAACUAUCAAUGCACCUGCCUUAAAGGAACCUGAAGAAUG
rnacentral:lncRNA from 1 species